CCAACAUUAUAACCAUCAAUUUAGUCACUAAUUUAGUGUACCGUACGUGCAACAAAAUUUGGUAAAGAUUAGAAGCUAAAAAGCCAAUCCCAGCUACCACUAUCUUUGAAAUCAUCGACAGCAAAAUCCGAAAUGUAAUCACCGCGAGACGCAAGCGUAAGCGAUACCGCAACCUAAUGCAUCUCUGAUUUUUUUGAUAGAGUUUGCUCUUGAAGCUUUUAAGAAAGCCGGUUCGCUCAAUGUCUCCGACGAAAUGGCGAAUUUCACCGCCGAAGUUUCCACCAAAGCCGAUCAGAUCCAUAAAGAUGAAGAAGCUAAGAAGAUAAAGAUGAAGAUAUAAGGUAUGGUUGUCUCUUGAGGCAGAUACUCAUGUCGUCAUUGUCUAUCAAUUAAGAGUUUUAAGUCCUUUUUAGAUUUUUAGUCUUAUAUGUUCUAUGAAGUUUGAGCACCAAAAACCCCCUGUUCAGGUUUAGGUCUUCGAGUUUUUUACUUAUCAUCUUUGAUAUAGUGAAUGGCAAUUUCUCAUAUUUCUUGUAUCUUCUCAGAA